rnacentral:rRNA from 1 species
GAUGAACGCUGGCGGCGUGCCUAAUACAUGCAAGUCGAGCGAACAGACGAGGAGCUUGCUCCUUUGACGUUAGCGGCGGACGGGUGAGUAACACGUGGGUAACCUACCUAUAAGACUGGGAUAACUUCGGGAAACCGGAGCUAAUACCGGAUAAUAUUUCGAACCGCAUGGUUCGAUAGUGAAAGAUGGCUUUGCUAUCACUUAUAGAUGGACCUGCGCCGUAUUAGCUAGUUGGUAAGGUAACGGCUUACCAAGGCAACGAUACGUAGCCGACCUGAGAGGGUGAUCGGCCACACUGGAACUGAGACACGGUCCAGACUCCUACGGGAGGCAGCAGUAGGGAAUCUUCCGCAAUGGGCGAAAGCCUGACGGAGCAACGCCGCGUGAGUGAUGAAGGUCUUCGGAUCGUAAAACUCUGUUAUUAGGGAAGAACAAACGUGUAAGUAACUAUGCACGUCUUGACGGUACCUAAUCAGAAAGCCACGGCUAACUACGUG